rnacentral:misc_RNA from 1 species
GAUGAAGAACGUAGCGAAAUGCGAUACGUAAUGUGAAUUGCAGAAUUCAGUGAAUCAUCGAAUCUUUGAACGCAUAUUGCGCUCUCUGGUAUUCCGGAGAGCAUGCUUGUUUGAGUAUCAGUAAACACCUCAACUUCCAUAUCUUUUUUGAAAUGGGAGUUGGACUUGAGUGAUCCCAACGCUUUUCCUCAACGAAAAGUGGCGGGUUACUUGAAAUGCAGGUGCAGCUGGACUUUUCUCUGAGCUAUAAGCAUAUCUAUUUAGUCUGCCUAAAAAACAGAUUAUUACCUUUGCUGCAGCUAACAUAAAGGAGAUUAGUUCUUGUGCUGACUGAUGCAGGAUUCACAAAGACAGGCUUCGGCCGACUUUGUAAACUCGAUCUCAAAUCAAGUAAGACUACCCGCUGAACUUAAGCAUAUCAAUAAGCGGAGGA